GAUGAACGCUGGCGGCGUGCCUAACACAUGCAAGUCGAGCGAACGGACGAGAAGCUUGUUUCUCUGAUGUUAGCGGCGGGCGGGUGAGUAACACGUGGAUAACCUACCUAUAAGACUGGGAUAACUUCGGGAAACCGGAGCUAAUACCGGAUAAUAUUUUGAACCGCAUGGUGCAAAAGUGAAAGACGGUCUUGCUGUUACUUAUAGAUGGAUCCGCGCUGCAUUAGCUAGUUGGUAAGGUAACGGCUUACCAAGGCAUGGGUGCAUAGCCGACCAAGGAGAGUGUUCGGACACGCUGGGACUGAGACACGGUCCAGACUCCGACGGGAAGACGCAGUAGGGAAUCUUCGGAGGUGGGAGAAAGCCAGACGGAGCAACGCCGCGUGGGUGAUGAGGGUCUUCGGAUCGGAAAGUUCUGUUAUUAGGGAAGAACAUAUGUGUAAGUAACUGUGCACGUCUUGACGGUACCUAGUCAGUAAGCCACGGCUAACUCCGUG
rnacentral:rRNA from 1 species